CGUUGUGCCCGGACCCUGUCGCACCACGAGGCGCUGUCUACGAGUCGGGUUGUUUGGGAAUGCAGCCCAAAUCGGGCGGUGAAUUCCGUCCAAGGCUAAUUAUUUUUAUAAUAAUGUAAUUGAAAAUAUUAUUCUUAAU
rnacentral:ncRNA from 1 species